UCCUUAGAUGUUCUGGGCCGCACGCGCGCUACACUGAUGCAUUCAACGAGUCUAAAACCUGCUCUGAUAGGGGUGGGUAAUCUUUUGAAUGUGCAUCGUGAUUGGGAUAGAUGAUUGCAAUUUUUCAUCUUCAACGAGGAAUGCCUAGUAAACGCAAGUCAUCAGCUUGCAUUGAUUACGUCCCUGCCCUUUGUACACACCGCCCGUCGCUCCUACCGAUUGAAUGAUCCGAUGAAUAUCAUGGAUUGAGGAUGCAAGUAGGUUAGCCUAUCUUCAUCUUCGAGAAGUGAAGUAAAUCUUAUCAUUUAGAGGAAGGAGAAGUCGUAACA
rnacentral:rRNA from 1 species